ACGCUUGAGACGGUAUUCAGGGGCACGUGUCAUUCAUUCAACAACACUCUCUCUCUCUCAACCGUCUCGGCUUCUCUCUUUCUCUCGAGGCAAAACGGUGAUCUCUCUCAACCGUCUCAGACUCGUUGACGGCAUCAUGCAGAGUCGGUGGAAUCGUCGUCUCUCUCUCUAACCUCGACGACUCUGCGUCUCCCUCGCAUUCAGCCUCGAAGAUUCCGCCUCCAAUUGAUUAUUGAAUCGAAAACCAUCCAAUUGAUUAUUGAAUCGAUUAUUAGUAAAGGAAUCAAUUUUGUCAUGUUUUGACAAGAAGGAUGAAUGGUUCUCGUAAGCAAUCAAUAGUCUACACUGUUCGAGAUUACCAACCGCUAGAAGAAAGCAGCGUCGCUUGUUCUGCCUCGACGACGGACGGAGCAAGAAGCUUAACGAUGCGGCACAGAUUGAUCGGCCGAUGUUGAAACGUCCAGUUUGCUCCUGCAGCUGGUGUUCGUCAGUACGAUUGGAGCAGGAAAUAGAUUGUUCUCAUUGUCAGUUACAGAGAUAUGUAAUUUAGUUAGCCUUGGGCCGAGAGAGUCAUGCGAGGUCUUCCAUGAUCCUGACAAGGGAAAAGGUAGUGAUGAAGGUAAAGUGAGGAAAGUGCUGAAAGUUGAACCCCUUUCAAAUGGUUCUGGCCGCUUCUUUAACCUGAGUAAAUGAAUCUUUAAUUCGUUGUUUCUUUCCCAAUACUCCUGAUUUUGCAUUCUCAUGGAUUAAAAGCUCUUCUGUUUUUUCAUUGUUGUUUAUUCAUCAAGGUGUUCAAAACAAGCUGUUGAAUGUAGAUGAAGGUGUUCAAAACUAAAGUAGAGUUUGCUGUUCUUAUCUCUGCUUUCAACGUGAGCCCUCUCUUUAUCUCUUUGUAAAGAAAACAUUUGCCUCUAUUUUAACCUUGUACAUUGUGUCGCAGUUCAUCUUGCCGCACCUUAUAGACUGGCAUGCAUUUGGGUACAUGUUUUGCUUAAAACAUUGUCCUGUAUAUAGUUUAAGAUUAACAGAGUUGAGUUGAGUACAUGUUUUGCUUAAUUUUUUAAGAACCCUAAAUUAAGAGACUUGCAAUGGAGUACAUAAAUUUUCAGGUCUCUUAAUCCAGUCUCUUAAUUCACUUUUGCAUUUUAAAAGUAUUCAAAAAUAAAUAAGAGACCCAUUUAGAGUAUGUGGGAUAAUGAUG